rnacentral:rRNA from 1 species
CCUACGGGAGGCAGCAGUGGGGGAUAUUGCACAAUGGGGGGAACCCUGAUGCAGCGACGCCGCGUGAGUGAAGAAGUAAUUCGUUAUGUAAAGCUCUAUCAGCAGGGAAGAAUAAAUGACGGUACCUGAAGAAGAAGCCCCGGACAAAUACGGGCGCGCAGCCGCGGUAAUACGUAGGGGGCAAGCGUUAUCCGGAUUUACUGGGUGUAAAGGGAGCGUAGAGGGCGGUGGAAGCCAGAUGAGAAAGCCGGCGGCUCAACUGCGGUAGUGCAUUGGGAACUGUAUGGCUGGAGUGCAGGAGAGGCAGGCGGAAUUCCUAGUGUAGCGGUGAAAUGCGUAGAUAUUAGGAGGAACACCAGUGGCGAAGGCGGCAUACCGGCGCCCAACUGACGCUGAGGCACGAAAGCGUGGGUAUCGAACAGGAUUAGAUACCCUGGUAGUC